rnacentral:rRNA from 1 species
UACGAAGGGGGCUAGCGUUGCUCGGAAUCACUGGGCGUAAAGCGCACGUAGGCGGCUUUCUAAGUCAGGGGUGAAAUCCUGGAGCUCAACUCCAGAACUGCCUUUGAUACUGGGGAGCUCGAGUCCGGAAGAGGUGAGUGGAACUGCGAGUGUAGAGGUGAAAUUCGUAGAUAUUCGCAAGAACACCAGUGGCGAAGGCGGCUCACUGGCCCGAUACUGACGCUGAGGUGCGAAAGCG